GUAAGGGAUAUUGCAACAAUGGGCGGAAGCCUGAUGCAGCAACGCCGCGUGCGGGAUGACGGCCUUCGGGUUGUAAACCGCUUUUCGGGGAGAAGAGGAAGGACGGUAUCCCCGGAAGAAGUCUCGGCUAACUACGUGCCAGCAGCCGCGGUAAAACGUAGGAGGCGAACGUUAUCCGGAUUUACUGGGUGUAAAGCGCGUGCAGGCGGUCUCGUAAGUUGUGUGUGAAAGCGCCUGGCUCAACCGGGCGAGGCCAUGCAACACUGCGGGGCUGGAGGCAGGUAGAGGCGUACGGAAUUCCGGGUGUAGUGGUGAAAUGCGUAGAGAUCCGGAGGAACACCAGUGGCGAAGGCGGUACGCUGGGCCUGACCUGACGCUAAGACGCGAAAGCAUGGGGAGCGAACGGGAUUAGAUACCCGGGUAGUCC
rnacentral:rRNA from 1 species